GUCUACAGCCAUGCUACCCUGAACAAGCCUGAUCUUGAAAGCUAAGCAGGGCAGGGUCAGGCCUGGCUAAUACUUGGAUGGGAGACUACCUAGGAAGACCAGAUGCUGUAGGCC
rnacentral:rRNA from 1 species